UCAUAGMGGAAGGRAAMUAAMCUAAGGAUUNNCCUAGUAACUGCGAGUGAAGCGGGAAAAGCUCAAAUUUAAAAUCUGGCGGUCUUCGGCUGUCCGAGUUGUAAUCUAGAGAAGUGUUAUCCGCGCUGGACCGUGUACAAGUCUCCUGGAAUGGAGCGUCAUAGAGGGUGAGAAUCCCGUCUUUGACACGGACUGCCAGGGCUUUGUGAUGCGCUCUCAAAGAGUCGAGUUGUUUGGGAAUGCAGCUCAAAAUGGGUGGUAAAUUCCAUCUAAAGCUAAAUAUUGGCGAGAGACCGAUAGCGAACAAGUACCGUGAGGGAAAGAUGAAAAGAACUUUGGAAAGAGAGUUAAACAGUACGUGAAAUUGCUGAAAGGGAAACGCUUGAAGUCAGUCGCGUUGGCCAGGGAUCAACCUUGCUUUUGCUGGGCGUACUUUCUGGUCGACGGGUCAGCAUCAAUUUUGACCGUUGGAUAAAGGCUGAGGGAAUGUGGCUCCUUCGGGAGUGUUAUAACCCUUGGUCGCAUACAACGAUUGGGAUUGAGGAACUCAGCACGCCGCAAGGCCGGGUACUUGUACCACGUUCGUGCUUAGGAUGCUGGCAUAAUGGCUUUAAUCGACCCGUCUUGAAACACGGACCAAGGAGUCUAACAUGCCUGCGAGUGUUUGGGUGGAAAACCCGAGCGCGUAAUGAAAGUGAAAGUUGAGAUCCCUGUCGCGGGGAGCAUCGACGCCCGGACCAGACCNUUUUGUGACGGAUCCGCGGUAGAGCAUGUAUGUUGGGACCCGAAAGAUGGUGAACUAUGCCUGAAUAGGGUGAAGCCAGAGGAAACUCUGGUGGAGGCUCGUAGCGAUUCUGACGUGCAAAUCGAUCGUCAAAUUUGGGUAUAGGGNCGAAAGACUAAUCCAACCAU
rnacentral:rRNA from 1 species